rnacentral:tRNA from 1 species
GUAGGGUUGUGGCUCAAUGGCUGAGCAUCUGCUUUGCAUGCAGAAGGUCCCAGGUUGAAUCCUUGGUAUCUACA